rnacentral:tRNA from 1 species
UCCUCAGGAGCUCAGUGGUAGAGCAAGCGGCUGUUAACCGAUCGGGCGCAAGUUCUAGUCUUGCCUGCGGAG